UAGAGUUUGAUCCUGGCUCAGGAUAAGUCGUAACAAGGUAACCGUAUGAGUUUGAUCCUGGCUCAGGACGAACGCUGGCGGCAUGCUUAACACAUGCAAGUUGUGCGAGAAAGUUACCUUCGGGUAACGAGUAAAGCAGCGAACGGGUGAGUAACGCGUAAGUUAUCUACCUUUAAAUCUGGAAUAACUACUCGAAAGGGUGGCUAAUACUGGAUAUACUCUUUUUAGAGGAAAGAUGGAUUACUAUCGUUUAAAGAUGAGCUUGCGUCCCAUUAGCUAGUUGGUAAGAUAACAGCCUACCAAGGCAACGAUGGGUAGCCGGCCUGAGAGGGCGAUCGGCCACACUGGGACUGAGACACGGCCCAGACUCCUACGGGAGGCUGCAGUGGGGAAUCUUCCGCAAUGGGCGAAAGCCUGACGGAGCAAUGCCGCGUGAGUGAUGAAGGCCUUAGGGUCGUAAAGCUCUGUCUUGAGGGAAGAACAACUUAGUAGUGAACAACUGCUAGGUAUGACGGUACCUCAAAAGAAAGCCCCGGCUAAUUACGUGCCAGCAGCCGCGGUAACACGUAAGGGGCAAGCGUUGUCCGGAAUUACUGGGCGUAAAGGGUGCGCAGGCGGUCUAGCAAGUCAGAGGUGAAAGCCACUAGCUCAACUAGUGAAAGUCCUUUGAAACUGUUAGACUUGAGAGUAGAAGAGGGAGAUGGAAUUCCUAGUGUAGUGGUGAAAUACGUAGAUAUUAGGAAGAAUACCAAUGGUGAAAACAGUCUCCUGGUCUGACUCUGACGCUGAGGCACGAAAGCUAGGGUAUCAAACGGGAUUAGAUACCCCGGUAGUCCUAGCUGUAAACGCUGGAUACUAGGUGUUGGGGGUUCAACUCCCUCGGUGCCGUAGUUAACGCUUUAAGUAUCCCGCCUGGGGAAUACGACCGCAAGGUUGAAACUCAAAGGAAUUGGCGGGGGCCCGCACAAGCGGCGGAGCAUGUGGUUUAAUUCGAAGCAACGCGAAGAACCUUACCAGAACUUGACAUCUUUCUGAUAUUCUUUUAACAGAGAAGUUCCCUUCGGGGACAGAAAUGACAGGUGGUGCAUUGCUGUCGUCAGCUCGUGUCGUGAGAUGUUGGGUUAAGUCCCGCAACGAGCGUAACCCUUAUUCUUAGUUGCCAGCAUGUAAUGAUGGGGACUCUAAGGAGACUGCCGCGGAAGAACGCGGAGGAAGGUGGGGAUGACGUCAAGUCAUCAUGCCCCUUAUGUUCUGGGCUACACACGUGCUACAAUGGCUUACACAAAAGGAAGCGAGACCGCAAGGUAGAGCCAAUCCUGUAAAGUGAGUCUCAGUUCGGAUUGCAGAUUGCAACUCAUCUGCAUGAAGCUGGAGUCGCUAGUAAUCGUGGAUCAGAAUGUCACGGUGAAUACGUUCCCGGGCCUUGUACACACCGCCCGUCACACCACCCGAGUUGGGGGCACCAGAAGUCGCUGACUCAACCAAGUGAGAGAAGCGCCGAAGGUGUGCCCGAUAAGGGAGGUGAAGUCGUAACAAGGUA
rnacentral:rRNA from 1 species